CAGGGAGACAACAAAAUGUUUAAUAUUAUUAUUUUGUCACCUUAGGUCGAUCGGUAUCUCACAUUUUUAAUUUAUUAAGAAUUUCAUUUCCUAAGUUUUUCUAGGUCACACCCAUUAUUUUUCCUGGGCCAUUAGCUCAGGUGGUUAGAGCGCACCCCUGAUAAGGGUGAGGUCCCUGGUUCAAGUCCAGGAUGGCCCAUAUCUCUAUGUUGGGGGUAUAGCUCAGUUGGUAGAGCGCCUGCUUUGCAAGCAGGAUGUCAGCGGUUCGAGUCCGCUUACCUCCACUGAUUACCACCUCUUCCAUAACCGGUAGAAAGGAAAUGUUUUGAGUUGUGAUCAAAUUCUGAAAGAAUCUAGCUUCCUAAUGAAAUCAUUAAGAUGCUGGACUCAUUGAAUUAAUUUCAUUGUUUUCAGAGAACCUUGACAACUGCAUAGAUUAUUUUUAAAGACAAUAAGCAUCUUUCAAUGAUGCAGAUUUAUUAUUUGUGCGAAUGCAUUAAUAACAAUUCUAUUAAGCUGAUGCUUCAAUUUUUGAAGUUAUU
rnacentral:tRNA from 1 species